rnacentral:lncRNA from 1 species
AUGCUGAAAAGUUGUAACAGUGCCCAAGUGCUAACUAUCCACCAGGAGCCUGUGUCCUGGUUCACAGGGACACCACCCUCCCCUAAGCCAGUGCAGGCUAGACAGAAACAGCAGUGGGGAGGUUGCUGUCCAGUUGGGGCCCUCAGUGCCUUCCAGCGUUCCUUGGGAUGGAAUUCAAGUUUGCCCUCACCUACUCCCCUGCCGGGCUCAGGCGCAAAACUCCCGUGCACUCUCCCUGCCUUUGCACGUGCAGUUCCCUCUAUCUGGGAAGAUCUUUCCUGCAGCCUUCCCGCUGGUCCAGGUGCCCUCACCAAACCGGACGGCCCAGGAAGGGGGACGGGUACACCGCAGGGCCCCGCGGCAAGCGAGGAAGGGCCUGGCGGGGGAGGAGAGAAGGAACAGAGGCGCUCCAGCCUCCAGCAUGUCUCUUCUCCCCGACUGCCGACCUCAGCCCCCAACGCGCCGGCCCGGGGUCCAAGAUCUGAGAGCGCGCGCGAGCUAGCCCGGGUCGCGGGGACUGUGGAGCCGGGACCCGGCAGCCGAGCCGGGAUGGCGGGGACAGAGGUCUGGGGCCUGGGGUCCCCGGGGCGGGCACUCACCUGGGUUCGGCGCGGGCCUCCGUUCUGGAGCCGCUCGGGGCCGCGGCCGCCUGGGGGGGAGGGGGAAGGGGGGGGGGAGGAGCGGGCGGGGGCGGGGCCGGCGCUGCGGCGACACUGCGGCCGGGAAGCCCGCGGCGCCCAGCACCGCCCCGCCGGGUCCCUGCUGGUAGUUGGGGGUCGGUUCCAGGUCAGGGGUCAGGCCGGUGGCUUCAGAGUCCUCACAGAGGGUCGCGGGGUAUGGGGAGGAAUUCGGGGUUCCUUCUGGCCAUGGACGCCGCCGGCGGGGUUUGGGUUCCCAGGGAUCCUCUGGACCUUAGAGGGGCGCAUAGCUGGGCAGCGCACCGGAUCUGAUUCUUGCUUUUCUUUCUUUCCUAAGUCUUCGAAUCGUGGGCGGCGGCGGAGUGACGUGGGGAGUGGGAGUUGA